UNGGAUGUNGCGGGGGGCCUAACACAUGCAAGUCGAGCGGUAGAGAGAAGCUUGCUUCUCUUGAGAGCGGCGGACGGGUGAGUAAUGCCUAGGAAUCUGCCUAGUGGUGGGGGAUAACGUUCGGAAACGGACGCUAAUACCGCAUACGUCCUACGGGAGAAAGCGGGGGACCUUCGGGCCUCGCGCCAUUAGAUGAGCCUAGGUCGGAUUAGCUAGUUGGUGAGGUAAAGGCUCACCAAGGCGACGAUCCGUAACUGGUCUGAGAGGAUGAUCAGUCACACUGGAACUGAGACACGGUCCAGACUCCUACGGGAGGCAGCAGUGGGGAAUAUUGGACAAUGGGCGAAAGCCUGAUCCAGCCAUGCCGCGUGUGUGAAGAAGGUCUUCGGAUUGUAAAGCACUUUAAGUUGGGAGGAAGGGUAGUAACUUAAUACGUUGCUACUUUGACGUUACCGACAGAAUAAGCACCGGCUAACUUCGUGCCAGCAGCCGCGGUAAUACGAAGGGUGCAAGCGUUAAUCGGAAUUACUGGGCGUAAAGCGCGCGUAGGUGGUUCAGUAAGUUGGAUGUGAAAUCCCCGGGCUCUACCUGGGAACUGCCCCCCA
rnacentral:rRNA from 1 species